CCGGGGACGAGGAGCUGGCAUCAGGCACACCAGAUGGCCCAAGACGCCUUGCUCAGCCACACCCCCAAGGGAAUUCAGCAGUAAUAAACAUUAAGCCAUAAGUGAAAACUUGACUUAGUUAGGGUUAAGAGGGCCGGUAAAAUUCGUGCCAGCCACCGCGGUUAUACGAAAGACCCUAGUUUAUAGGCACGGCGUAAAGGGUGGUUAUGGGACAGACAAAAUAAAGCUAAAGACCCCCAGAGCCGUCAUACGCCCACGGGGGCGCGAAACCCAAAUACGAAAGUAGCUUUACUAAACAAAUGCCCGACCCCACGAAAGCUGAGAAACAAACUGGGAUUAGAUACCCCACUAUGCCCAGCCUUAAACCUAGAUGAAAACUUACAAAACCAUCCGCCCGGGGACUACAAGCACAGCUUAAAACCCAAAGGACUUGGCGGUGCCUCAGACCCACCUAGAGGAGCCUGUUCUAGAACCGAUAACCCCCGUUAAACCUCACCACCUCUUGUUUUCCCCGCCUAUAUACCGCCG
rnacentral:rRNA from 1 species